rnacentral:lncRNA from 1 species
AAAGAGUAACUUUUGGAGACUUAGGGCUCUGUUUAUUUGUAUUACCCAUAAAAGGGUAACAUUUGGAGACUUAGGGCUCUGAUCAUUUGGGUUGCCCAUAAAAGGGUAACAUUAGGGCUCUGUUCAUUUGGGAAAAGGGUAACAUUUAGAGACUUAGGGCUCUGUUCAUUUGGGUUACUCAUAAAGGGUAACAUUUGCAGACUUAGGGCUCUGUUCAUUUGGGUUACUUAUAAAGGGUAACAUUUGGAGAUUUAGGGCUCUGUUCAUUUGGGUUACUCAUAAAGGGUAACAUUUGGAGACUUAGGCUGCUCAUUUGGGUUACUCAUAAAGGGUAGCAUUUGGAGACUCAGGACUCUGUUCAUUUGGGUUAUCCAUAAAGGGUAACAUUUGGAAAUUUAGCGCUCUGUUUAUCAGCUAUUGUUCACGAGAAUUAUUCAUCGGGUACUGUUCAUUGGGUACUGUUCACGAGUUACGAGUACUGUUCACAGAUUCGUGAACAGUAAGCUGAUUAGUCUUAUUAAUCAUUCUGAAUUUGUUAAAGAAUUAAUGUAGUAUUUGGAAUUUCUAUAUUCUGGCAAAAGGGAAUAUUUCUCGUAUUUAUGAUGUGUGUAAGGCGUUUUACCAAGCUGAAAAAAUGUGUUCUCCUGUUCUAGUGCUGAACCUGAAUUUCGAAUCAUGGCAAAAACCGUUUGUGAAGUUUUGUAGGUACGUCAAUUAUUGGAAGAAGUUGGGUUCACAAAUUCGGUGUUUGCUAAGUUGUAUGGGACGAGUUGAUUAUAUCUGUAACAAGUUGGACAUGAUUAACAUUUAUGCUCCAACUUGAGGGGGAGUAUUAUAGAUUAUAGGAAGUAAAUAUAUUAAUAUAGUAAGUAAAUAUUGAUAGAUGAGUUAGUUGCUUAAUCUUAGGGAUUGUAUAAUCAUAGACUUGAUUUUCCUUCCUGUUUAGAUAUUGUCUUUUAUAUAUAAAUAGGUUGUAAUCUUUAUUAUGAACCACAACAACAAAAUAUUAUAUUUCUAAAGUUCAAAAGUUGGAUUGUAUGUUCAUGAUUUAGAAUUUGUGUUUUAUUGUGAGUUAACUUUUACUUUAUGCCAUUAC